CCCACACCUGCUGUGUGAUUCUCUUCACCAACAUCCUUUCAGAUAAGUAACUGUUUCUGAUUGUAGGCAACUGCAAAUACACCACUGGUGUGAAAAGGAGUGUGCCUAUAAACAGAAAGGGUGGUUUGGUUAAAAAUAAGAAACAGCAAACCUCUGGGUGUGGCUGCAACCUGGGCCUCAAGUUUUACAGCUUUUUUACAAAAUUGUUGAUAACCCUUGCAGCUUUGCAUUUCUGGGUUAUAAGAUUGGGUUUUACUGGCUGUUUAUUAAAAUUUGGCUGUUUACUGUGAGCUUGGAGUGUGGGAUUCAGGAUGUUUGGAGCAGGGUGGGGCUGUGAGUUAAGCCAGACUCUGCACGCUGUUUUUGCUGCCCUCUAACUGCUCAUUUGUCCCUGAUCAUUUUCCUCCUCCCAGCCCUCACUGCUCUCUCAGCCACUGAGCAAGGAGACCUGCUGCUGAAUUUCUCCGUGCUUGGGAGAAGUUUAAUGGUUACAGAGCAUUGGAUCUGCAGGGGAUGAGAAGAAUCCUUUCCCAGCCACUUCUCUGCCAAAUGAAGACAAGAAGACUGUGAAGUUUGAACAAGAUUUCUGCGGGACAAACCAAGAGAUGUGACCAGGAGCCGGCCUGACCUCAUGCACUGAACAAGACAGAAUUUACAGUGACUGUGGCUGGAACCCAAGUGCCUCAACUGGGUCUCCAGGAUGUAAAUAGUUCCAUGUUCUCUGUUCUGUUGGACCUUAGAAACAGUUCUGUUUUGUUAACUUACUUUCUGUUCAAUGCAAAGCACCUGCAUAUUUUUUUUGUUUGUUUAAAAUACAGUUUUUUAAGUUCUUUUAGUUAACCUUGGGAAAACUUUGUGUUUUUUGAGGGUAAUGCUUUUCUGCCUUGCAAAGGAAGAGAUGGGGGGUGGUACCUGCCUUUAAAAUGACCAAGUGCAAUGAAUUUUCUGAAUGGCCCCAUGUGCUGAUGAUCUAUAAAUGUUGAAUAUUAUGAAUAACUAUUAUGAAUAAUUAACAGGACAAUAUUCACACCUAUUGCUGACAGGAAAUCUGCACUCAGAUUGUUACUGAGGGUCUUGCUCAGUUUCAGCCUUGUCAGACCCAAGUUUGGGUGGCAAAAUGACACCCAAGGGGUGGCUGGAAACAGCUCUGCCUGUCUCCUGUGCUGGAGGGAUGGGACUCACAGGGAGGAUUCCUACUUGGGCUGCUUUUGGGAUUUGGGCUGGUGAGGGUGGGAAACUGCAGUGGAUCUGGGAUUGCUUGGGCAUUGUUGUGAGUCUGAGAGCUUCCAGGGAGAGGAUCCCUUCUGAUAAAGGAGGGAUUAAGUGGCUGAAUGUGGGACAUAAGGCACAUUUUGCAUGUGGGCAUUUGCCUGCAAGCACUGGUGGUCUCAGUGAGUGUCCAGGAGCAGAAUUUGGUACCAAAGUGAGGUGUCCUUCCUGUGGGAGAGGACUUGGGCUCCUUCUCCCACAGGAAGCCACACUCUAGGAUGGGCCCAAAGACUUAGAAACCUGUCAAAGAACCCAAAGGGCAAUAAUGAGCUGUGUGAGAGCACUUCUCCCUUGCCACACUAGCAGUGGAGGCAGCAUCCACAGCACUGCUGUGUUGACACCCUUCCCUUCCCAGAGAUUUCCUGGAAAUUAAGCUUGCAGUAUGGCUCAAGGGGUUA